UACAGGGGGUGCAAGCGUUGCUCGGAAUCAUUGGGCGUAAAGCGCGCGUAGGCGGUUGCUUAAGUCGGAUGUGAAAGCCCUUGGCUCAACUGAGGAAGUGCAUCCGAAACUGAGCAGCUUGAGUACGAAAGAGGGUCGCGGAAUUCCCGGUGUAGAGGUGAAAUUCGUAGAUAUCGGGAGGAACACCGGUGGCGAAGGCGGCGACCUGGGUCGAGACUGACGCUGAGGCGCGAAAGCGUGGGGAGCAAACAGG
rnacentral:rRNA from 1 species